rnacentral:lncRNA from 1 species
CACUCAUCUCAUUAAUUGAGAUAGAAACCCGAGUCUCCCUCGCUGCUCAUAUCUAGUCAAUCACCAAGUCUUAUUGGUGGGAACCCCUCAUUAUCUUUCAAAUCCACCCCUGCCUCUCCAUUGACACCACCAGUUCCCUUAUGACCCUCAUCAUCUCUUACCAGUCAAUGACACUGGCUUUCUAACUGACCUUUUACUCUCCGGGCUGAUGUCCCCUCUAAUCUAUCCUCCAUUUCACUGCUCAAGCAAUCUUUCUAAAACACAAAAGUGUGCUAAAAGUUGCUGAAAGUAUGAAGCCUAACUCCUGUCCAGCCCCCUUCUCCUAACAGUCCCCCCACAUACCUUGGAUACAUAAAAACCAAACUACUCCAAGUUCUAGAACUUUUCAGCUCUCUCUGGCUCUGGAUCUUUGCCCAGCUGAGUCCUCUGCCCAGAACACUCACCUCUUUCUUGGAAAACUCCACAUCUUUUAGCUAAUGUGAUAUCUUUUCUGGAAGACUUUCUUGCCUUACCCAAGCAGACCUGGACAUUUUUCUCCUGAAUUCUCAAUGUUUUUUGUUCAUGCCUACACAGAAGCAGUCACUUCAUGCACUGCAAUGGACUAUUAUCCCUAUUUUAAAGAUGAAGAAACAGAUUCGGAGAGCAGAUAAAACUUGUUCAAGGACC